GCCCUUGAAAGAUAAUAGUUAUCUAUUGGUCUUAGGAACCAAAAACUCUUGGUGCAACUCCAAGCAAGAGCU
rnacentral:tRNA from 9 species